GGGUUGUGAGGUUAAGCGACUAAGCGUACACGGUGGAUGCCCUGGCAGUCAGAGGCGAUGAAGGGCGUGCUAAUCUGCGAUAAGCGCCGGUAAGGUGAUAUGAACCGUUAUAACCGGCGAUACCCGAAUGGGGAAACCCAGUGUGAUUCGUCACACUAUCAUUAACUGAAUCCAUAGGUUAAUGAGGCGAACCGGGGGAACUGAAACAUCUAAGUACCCCGAGGAAAAGAAAUCAACCGAGAUUCCCCCAGUAGCGGCGAGCGAACGGGGAGGAGCCCAGAGCCUGAAUCAGCAUGUGUGUUAGUGGAAGCGUCUGGAAAGGCGCGCGAUACAGGGUGACAGCCCCGUACACAAAAGCGCAUGUGCUGUGAGCUCGAUGAGUAGGGCGGGACACGUGGUAUCCUGUCUGAAUAUGGGGGGACCAUCCUCCAAGGCUAAAUACUCCUGACUGACCGAUAGUGAACCAGUACCGUGAGGGAAAGGCGAAAAGAACCCCGGCGAGGGGAGUGAAAAAGAACCUGAAACCGUGUACGUACAAGCAGUGGGAGCACAGGUUUACCUGUGUGACUGCGUACCUUUUGUAUAAUGGGUCAGCGACUUAUAUUCUGUAGCAAGGUUAACCGUAUAGGGGAGCCGUAGGGAAACCGAGUCUUAAUUGGGCGUUAAGUUGCAGGGUAUAGACCCGAAACCCGGUGAUCUAGCCAUGGGCAGGUUGAAGGUUGGGUAACACUAACUGGAGGACCGAACCGACUAAUGUUGAAAAAUUAGCGGAUGACCUGUGGCUGGGGGUGAAAGGCCAAUCAAACCGGGAGAUAGCUGGUUCUCCCCGAAAGCUAUUUAGGUAGCGCCUCGUGAAUUCAUCUCCGGGGGUAGAGCACUGUUUCGGCUAGGGGGCCAUCCCGGCUUACCAACCCGAUGCAAACUGCGAAUACCGGAGAAUGUUAUCACGGGAGACACACGGCGGGUGCUAACGUCCGUCGUGAAGAGGGAAACAACCCAGACCGCCAGCUAAGGUCCCAAAGUCAUGGUUAAGUGGGAAACGAUGUGGGAAGGCCCAGACAGCCAGGAUGUUGGCUUAGAAGCAGCCAUCAUUUAAAGAAAGCGUAAUAGCUCACUGGUCGAGUCGGCCUGCGCGGAAGAUGUAACGGGGCUAAACCAUGCACCGAAGCUGCGGCAGCGACGUUUAUGCGUUGUUGGGUAGGGGAGCGUUCUGUAAGCCUGCGAAGGUGGCCUGUGAGGGUUGCUGGAGGUAUCAGAAGUGCGAAUGCUGACAUAAGUAACGAUAAAGCGGGUGAAAAGCCCGCUCGCCGGAAGACCAAGGGUUCCUGUCCAACGUUAAUCGGGGCAGGGUGAGUCGACCCCUAAGGCGAGGCCGAAAGGCGUAGUCGAUGGGAAACGGGUUAAUAUUCCCGUACUUGGUGUUACUGCGAAGGGGGGACGGAGAAGGCUAUGUUGGCCGGGCGACGGUUGUCCCGGUUUAAGCGUGUAGGCUGGUUUUCCAGGCAAAUCCGGAAAAUCAAGGCUGAGGCGUGACGACGAGGCACUACGGUGCUGAAGCAACAAAUGCCCUGCUUCCAGGAAAAGCCUCUAAGCAUCAGGUAACAUCAAAUCGUACCCCAAACCGACACAGGUGGUCAGGUAGAGAAUACCAAGGCGCUUGAGAGAACUCGGGUGAAGGAACUAGGCAAAAUGGUGCCGUAACUUCGGGAGAAGGCACGCUGACACGUAGGUGAAGUGAUUUACUCAUGGAGCUGAAGUCAGUCGAAGAUACCAGCUGGCUGCAACUGUUUAUUAAAAACACAGCACUGUGCAAACACGAAAGUGGACGUAUACGGUGUGACGCCUGCCCGGUGCCGGAAGGUUAAUUGAUGGGGUCAGCGCAAGCGAAGCUCCUGAUCGAAGCCCCGGUAAACGGCGGCCGUAACUAUAACGGUCCUAAGGUAGCGAAAUUCCUUGUCGGGUAAGUUCCGACCUGCACGAAUGGCGUAAUGAUGGCCAGGCUGUCUCCACCCGAGACUCAGUGAAAUUGAACUCGCUGUGAAGAUGCAGUGUACCCGCGGCAAGACGGAAAGACCCCGUGAACCUUUACUAUAGCUUGACACUGAACAUUGAGCCUUGAUGUGUAG
rnacentral:rRNA from 1 species